rnacentral:rRNA from 1 species
AUUGAACGCUGGCGGCAGGCCUAACACAUGCAAGUCGAGCGGAUGAAGGGAGCUUGCUCCUGGAUUCAGCGGCGGACGGGUGAGUAAUGCCUAGGAAUCUGCCUGGUAGUGGGGGAUAACGUCCGGAAACGGGCGCUAAUACCGCAUACGUCCUGAGGGAGAAAGUGGGGGAUCUUCGGACCUCACGCUAUCAGAUGAGCCUAGGUCGGAUUAGCUAGUUGGUGGGGUAAAGGCCUACCAAGGCGACGUUCCGUAACUGGUCUGAGAGGAUGAUCGGUCACACUGGAACGGAGACGCGGUCCAGACGCCUACGGGAGGCAGCAGUGGGGAAUAUUGGACAGUGGGCGAAAGCCUGAUCCAGCCAUGCCGCGUGUGUGAAGAAGGUCUUCGGAUUGUAAAGCACUUUAAGUUGGGAGGAAGGGCAGUAAGUUAAUACCUUGCUGUUUUGACGUUACCAACAGAAUAAGCACCGGCUAACUUCGUG